rnacentral:rRNA from 1 species
CAUGCAAGUCGAACGAAGCCUUCGGGUUUAGUGGCGCACGGGUGCGUAACGCGUGGGAAUCUGCCUUUCGGUUCGGAAUAACUCGGGGAAACCCGUGCUAAUACCGGAUGAUGUCGCGAGACCAAAGAUUUAUCGCCGAAAGAUGAGCCCGCGUAAGAUUAGCUAGUUGGUGGGGUAAAGGCCUACCAAGGCGACGAUCUUUAGCUGGUCUGAGAGGAUGAUCAGCCACACUGGGACUGAGACACGGCCCAGACUCCUACGGGAGGCAGCAGUGGGGAAUAUUGGACAAUGGGCGAAAGCCUGAUCCAGCAAUGCCGCGUGAGUGAUGAAGGCCUUAGGGUUGUAAAGCUCUUUUACCCGGGAUGAUAAUGACAGUACCGGGAGAAUAAGCACCGGCUAACUUCGUGCCAGCAGCCGCGGUAAUACGAAGGGUGCAAGCGUUAAUCGGAAUUACUGGGCGUAAAGCGUGCGUAGGCGGUUGGCUAAGUCAGAUGUGAAAGCCCUGGGCUCAACCUGGGAAUGGCAUUUGAAACUGGCCAGCUAGAGUGUGAUAGAGGAUGGCGGAAUUCCCGGUGUAGCGGUGAAAUGCGUAGAGAUCGGGAGGAACAUCCGUGGCGAAGGCGGCCAUCUGGAUCAACACUGACGCUGA